CCUACGGGGGGCAGCAGUGGGGAAUAUUGGACAAUGGGGGCAACCCUGAUCCAGCCAUGCCGCGUGUGUGAAGAAGGCCCUCGGGUUGUAAAGCACUUUCAGUGAGGAAGAACGCCUGGUGGUUAAUACCCAUCAGGAAAGACAUCACUCACAGAAGAAGCACCGGCUAACUCCGUGCCAGCAGCCGCGGUAAUACGGAGGGUGCGAGCGUUAAUCGGAAUUACUGGGCGUAAAGCGCGCGUAGGUGGCUUGAUAAGCCGGUUGUGAAAGCCCCGGGCUCAACCUGGGAACGGCAUCCGGAACUGUCAAGCUAGAGUGCAGGAGAGGAAGGUAGAAUUCCCGGUGUAGCGGUGAAAUGCGUAGAGAUCGGGAGGAAUACCAGUGGCGAAGGCGGCCUUCUGGACUAACACUGACACUGAGGUGCGAAAGCGUGGGUAGCAAACAGGAUUAGAUACCCUGGUAGUC
rnacentral:rRNA from 1 species